UACCCAAGAUAGUGUGCAAGACAGAAGCAG
rnacentral:piRNA from 1 species